UCACUUAUAUACUCUUUCUUGGCC
rnacentral:miRNA from 1 species